ACCACAUUCUGGUGGUAUUGCCUGACAUCUUACUGAGUUCUGGAAAUAGCAGCACAGCUCAAAGUCCUGUGCUAUACAUUCCCAAUUUUCUUUAACUUUCUGCACCUUGAUUCAGAGCAGAUUACUUUCCAUGGAUUUUACUGUCCCGGCUGUGGUCUUCUUGACCCUCUCCUGCUGCCUUGUGCCUGCAGAAGCCCGAAACUAUAAUUCUAUCCUCACAGUGUCAAAUGGAGGACCGUGGGGUAUUUGGGGUGCAAUCCAGUUUUGUCCAGCAGGAUCUUAUGCUCAUGGCUUCUCACUGAAGGUAGAGCCAUUUCAAGGCCUUGGGGAUGAUACAGCCCUGAAUGGAAUCCGCCUCCACUGCACUGAUGGAUCAAUAAUUGAGUCUUCAGUUGGACCGUGGGGAUCCUGGAACGAAAUUAAAUACUGUCCCCGAGGCAAUCUGGUCUCUUUCUCUCUGAGAGUGGAAGGACAUCAAGGCGAAGGCGAUGAUACAGCAGCCAACAACAUCCAGUUCACCUGCCAAGAUGGAACUAUACUGUCAGGCCAGGGACUUGCCUGGGGUAGAUUUGGCUCUUGGAGCAGUCGCUGCUAUUCUGGUUCUGUCUGUGGGAUCCAGACAAAGGUGCAGGUUUACCAAGGCGAGAGCGAUGACACAGCACUUAAUGAUGCGGAGCUCUUCUGCUGUCGCUGAACCCUAUGGUGUCUCCACAUCAUACAGUGUUACUCUGCUACUUUUCAGUUGUCAUGGAUGUUAACCACAAUUAAAUAUCAGCUUGACAAUGGAUAAAGAAACACAAGCAUUCAUGCUUCCUCAAAGGGACUGGUUGCAUUCCAUUGGUUACAACAGGCUCAGAGCCAAAUUCAGGCAAAACGAAGGACAACUGGUACAGGAGAUCCUCUUCUCAGGGAUGUACUAGGUACUGUACCUUAUUGCAAGUACCUCAGUAGUUUAUCAUUUAUUAAGUAGCAUAAGGCUGCUCUAGUUUUGGAUUUUAAAUAGAUCUCAAGAUGUUCUUUCUUAAAUACCAAGGUGUACUUUUCUUUUGAGUGGCUUAUCUUCUUUUCUUCCAAAGGAAGCAAAUGAGAAAAGGGAAAUGUGUGCUUUUCCUUCACAAGACCCAUGAAUUUAUUCAAAGGGUGAUUGUUGCUUAAACACACUGUUGCUUAUUACAGUCUACACUUAUUUAUGUUUCUUGCAGACACAUGUGCCAGAAAUCCAAAGGCCAAUCAAGUCACUGGCAUAGCUGCCAAGUUUUCCCUUUUCUCGCGAGGAAGCCUAUUCAGCAUAAUGGAAAAUCCCUUAAAAAAAGGGAUAACUUGGCAGCUAUGGGAUGGAAAGCAAGAGGGAAGUAACCGAUUGCAUUAUGUACAAAAGAAUGAAAAGGGAAAGGGUAGAGUGCCAAAGUACGCUCUAAGGCUAAUUGGUUUUGGAGGAAACAAACAAACAAACAAACAAAAACUCCUUCCAGUAGCACCUUAGAGACCAACUAAGUUUGUCAAAGGUAUGAGCUUUCGUGUGCAUGCACACUUCUUCAGAUACCUGGUUUUGGAGGCACAUACUCAAGGCAACCAGUGUUGGGGAUGGGGAAGUCAUAGAAACUCUAUAGUCUCCCUCUGCUCUGCUCAGCUAUGGAUAGUGAAAGCUGAACCUGCCCAUACCAGUUUCUCACUAUUUCAGUCUUAAGCUAAUUCUUCACACUUCAGUAUCAAUUUGCAUUUCUUUCUUUCUUUCUUUCUUUCUUUCUUUCUUCACAAGAAAAUUCACCAGCAUUUCAGUACAUUUUUCUCCCAAUAUACACACGUAAAUUUUCGCAUGUAAUGUCGCCUAAUACAGGCAUCUCUGCAGCGCAAUUUCCCUUAAUAUAAUGUGUUUCUGCAUUGUAUUUUCACAAAUAUAUGCAUUUUUAUUCAUACUCACCCCAAUAUAUGCUUUUCUUUACAUCUUACUUGCCUGGAGAACUGUAGUGCAAAAUUCAGAGAAGCACAAAUUUCAAAGGAUGGCUGUGUUUUUGUUCUAGUGAAGUUUCAGAAACUCAAUCAGGCAAGUUCAUUUUAUUGGAAAAGAAAGGGAAUCAAAAAGAGUUCACAGAUCACGUAAUUAAAAAAUCAUUGUAUCAAAUCUGGAAUGAAUUUAAGGGGUGGGUAGAACCUCAGAGCGCUUGGUGGGCGUUCCCGGCAGAGAUGAUGGCAGUGGGGAACUGUACAAAGUCAGAGAAAUGGCCAACCUACCGGGAGCUAUUAAUAAGAGAAAAUGACCAAUGGAUUCUAAAAUCUUUUGAGGAGAUCAAGGGGCACUGUUCAAGCUGGCUACAUUACGGGCAGAUCCAAAGCAUUUUUAAAGUACAUAAAGAGAUUGGCUUCCCAACAAAAAAGUCUAAAUUACAAGAAUUGAUAAUAGAGAAUGAUAAAAAACCAUUGGGGAAGAUGUAUAAAUUCUUAUUAGAGCUGGAAUUAAAAGACGAAUUAACUAAAAAUGUCAUGAUAAAAUGGGCUGCAGAUAUUGGGAAAACGAUCACAAUAAAUCAAUGGGAGAAACUGUGGAAAGUGGAUUCGAACUUUACAGCUUGUAUGACAAUAAGAGAAAACAUACUAAAAAUGUUCCACAGAUGGUAUGUAACACCGGAAAGAAUAGCAAAAUUUUAUAAGUUAGGCGAAGGAAAAUGCUGGAAAUGCCAAAAGAAAAUUUGAAGCUUUUACCAUUGCUGGUGGACAUGCCCAAAGGUAGCAGAUUUCUGGAAUAAAAUAUAUGACAAAAUGAAAAUAAUGCUGAAAUGUACAUUUGAAAAAAGCCCUGAAAUAUUUUUGUUGAGUUUAAUCCCACCGAAUAUACCAAAAAUUAGAGUGAAUAUUUUAUUAUAUGCAUGCGCAGCAGCCAGGAUCCAAAUUGCAAUGAAAUGGAAAGGAGAUUCGUUACCAACGGUUCAAGAGUGGCAGGAAAGAUUAAUAGAAUAUUUGAAAAUGGCGAAACUAACGGCUAUAAUAAGAAAUGUACCCAGGCAAAAAAAUUAUGGAAGAUUGGAAAUAUGUGCAAGAUUAUUUGGAGAAAGAAAAUCUAGGAAAUAAUAUAGUGAUGUGCUUAGAGUAAUAGCUAUAAGAGGAGAAAAUGGUACCAUACAUUUAAUAAUGGUAAGAUUUAUAUUUGGGUAAUGUAGGAGAAACAGCAAAGGGAAAAGACUUCACAUAGGGAAGCGUGUUGUAAAUAAUAGGAAGUAAUUUUUUUCCCCUUUUCUUUCUUUCUGCUUUUUUCUUUCUUAUAUUUUUCCUCUUUUAUUUCCCCCUUUUUAGGAUAUAUUUUUUUGAGUAUACGCAUAUGUAUUUUUGUGUUCAUGUAUGAAUGCGCUCUUCUUUUAUAUAUUUUCUUUGACCUUUUAUUGUAUCUUUGAAUCCUGUAUUUUAAAAAUUUUCUGAAUAAAGAACUAAAAAAAAAUCAGGCAAGUUCACCUUUAAAUGCAAACUGAAUUGAAUUUCUCCCCUAUCCCUAGCAAUGGGGCAGCCAAGCAUGGCAGUUGCUGCUCAGGAGGAUGACUCCCACAUUUCCCUUCCCUUCCCAGCCCUAUGCUCGCUGCCCCGCCUACAUUCAUAUUUUACUGCUUAGCUCAAGGCACCUCCCAUUCUGACAACUGCAUAGGGCUCCUAUCAGCAGCUUGGCAAGGUUAGAGGGAAGUGGUGGAAGGAUUGUGACAUGGGAUUAGACCAGUGACCAAACUUGAAUGAGGUACAAAGGUGGUGGAGGACCCACCUGAAUUGUUCUUGGGGUAAGUGUUUUUAGGUGGGGAGGCGAGCCUCAAAAUGCGGGGAGGCACUUUUCACACUAUUUUUCCAGCAGUAUCUUAAUGUGCUACCCCUGUUUUCAGUGACCCAUCCUCUUCCUUGAGUUACCCUCCAAUGAGUUACCCUCCAACAUUCCUCUGAUGAAAACUGGAACCCAUGUCUUUAGGUGUUGCGCUUCUGUGGAAGCCAGCUGACCCGUGUGGCAGCAAGGCAGCAAGUCUUUUGGUGCCAUGCUCUUGCUGGAGCAGGUGACUUGCAUGAGAACUCAGCACUACUGCAAGUGUCAAACACUGGAUACAAGUGCCACCUCCUCCCUCCCUGGGCACGGCGGUGGCGGUGGUCAGGGGAAAUGGGAUAUUCCAGGAUGAAAUCAGAAGCCGGGAUAGCUUCUGUAAUUCCAGGAUAUCCUGGGAAAAUUGGGACACUUGAAAGGUAUGUAUUCAUCACCUUUUGAAGGUGAUGAUAAAUUGGGCAAUAGAUAUUGGAAGACCAAUUUUAAUAAAUCAGUGGGAGAAAUUAUGGAAAUUAGACACACAAUUUACAGCUUGCAUGACAAUUAGAGAAAAUAUCUUUAAAAUGUUUCAUAGAUGGUAUGUAACCCCGGAAAGGAUUGCCAAAUUUUAUAGAUAAAUUUUAUAGAUGGUAAAUGUUGGAAAUGCCAGGAAAAAACGGGGUCCUUCUAUCAUUGCUGGUGGAUGUGUCCAAGGGUGGCAAAAUUCUGGAAUGAGAUAUACGAAAAAUUAAAAAAGAUGAUGAAAUGUACAUUUGAAAAAAAGCCCGAAAUAUUCCCCUUAAGUAUGGUCCCAACAGAUAUCCCAAAAGACAGAAUUAACAUUUUAUUAUACGCCUGUGCGGCAGCAAGGAUAUUAAUUGCUUCAAAUUGGAAGGAAGAAAAGUUACCAACAAUACAAGAAUGGCAGGAGAAAUUGGUAGAAUACUUAAAAAUGGCGAAACUAAUGGCAAUAGUAAGAAAUGUACCUAGGCGUAAAAUAAUAGAAGAAUGGAAGUAUGUACAAGACUAUCUGGGAAAAGAAAACAUAGAAAGUAAUUUAGUAACGUGUUUAGAUUAAAGAUAUAAAAGGAGAGGAGGAAUGUACAGACAAAUAGAAAGGAAUGUAAACAAAGGAACAGAGAGAUAUAGCAGGGAAAGUGACUAGGAGAAGGGAAGCGUGUUGUAAAUAGUAGGAAGGAAUUUUAUUUUCUUUGGCUUCUGUUUCCCACCCCCUCUAUUUUCCUAUUUAUGUUUUUGCUUUUUGUACCUGAUUUUUCUGUUUUUCUUGUUCUUAUUUUUCUUUUUUUCUUUCAUUUUUUUCUUUA